rnacentral:rRNA from 1 species
CAGAGGGGGCGAGCGUUGUUCGGAAUUACUGGGCGUAAAGGGCGCGUAGGCGGCCUUCUAAGUCGAACGUGAAAUCCCCGGGCUCAACCCGGGAACUGCGUCCGAUACUGGAGGCUUGAAUCCGGGAGAGGGAUGUGGAAUUCCAGGUGUAGCGGUGAAAUGCGUAGAUAUCUGGAGGAACACCGGUGGCGAAGGCGGCAUCCUGGACCGGUAUUGACGCUGAGGCGCGAAAGCCAGGGGAGCAAACGGGAUUAGAUACCCCGGUAGUCCUGGCCCUAAACGAUGAAUGCUUGGUGUGGCGGGUAUCGAUCCCUGCCGUGCCGAAGCUAACGCAUUAAGCAUUCCGCCUGGGGAGUACGGUCGCAAGGCUG